rnacentral:rRNA from 1 species
GGCGAACGGGUGAGGAACACGUGAGAAAUCUGCCUUCAACACUGGGAUAACUCCGGGAAACCGGGGCUAAUACCGGAUAUGAAACUCAGCGGCAUCGCUGGGUUUGGAAAGUUUUUCGGUUGAAGAUGAUCUCGCGGCCUAUCAGCUUGUUGGUGAGGUAAUGGCUCACCGAGGCGACGACGGGUAGCCGGCCUGAGAGGGCGACCGGCCACACUGGGACUGAGACACGGCCCAGACUCCUACGGGAGGCAGCAGUGGGGAAUAUUGGGCAAUGGAGGAAACUCUGACCCAGCGACGCCGCGUGCGGGAUGAAGGCCUUCGGGUUGUAAACCGCUUUCAGCAGGGAAGAAGCGAAAGUGACGGUACCUGCAGAAGAAGCACCGGCUAACUAUGUGCCAGCAGCCGCGGUAAUACAUAGGGUGCAAGCGUUGUCCGGAAUUAUUGGGCGUAAAGAGCUCGUAGGUUGUUUGUCGCGUCGAUUGUGAAAAUCUGAGGCUCAACCUCAGACCUGCAGUCGAUACGGGCAAACUAGAGUGUGGUAGGGGAGACUGGAAUUCCUGGUGUAGCGGUGGAAUGCGCAGAUAUCAGGAGGAACACCAAUGGCGAAGGCAGGUCUCUGGGCCAUAACUGACACUGAGGAGCGAAAGUGCGGGGAGCGAACAGGAUUAGAUACCCUGGUAGUCCGCACCGU